rnacentral:rRNA from 1 species
UUCCAGACUCCUACGGGAGGCAGCAGUGGGGAAUAUUGCACAAUGGGGGAAACCCUGAUGCAGCGACGCCGCGUGAGUGAAGAAGUAUUUCGGUAUGUAAAGCUCUAUCAGCAGGGAAGAUAAUGACGGUACCUGACUAAGAAGCCCCGGCUAACUACGUGCCAGCAGCCGCGGUAAUACGUAGGGGGCAAGCGUUAUCCGGAUUUACUGGGUGUAAAGGGUGCGUAGGUGGCAGGGCAAGUCAGAUGUGAAAGCCCGGGGCUCAACCCCGGUACUGCAUUUGAAACUGUCCAGCUGGAGUGCAGGAGAGGUAAGCGGAACUCCUAGUGUAGCGGUGAAAUGCGUAGAUAUUAGGAGGAACACCAGUGGCGAAGGCGGCCUGCUGGACAGAAACUGACGUUGAGGCUCGAAAGCGUGGGGAGCAAACAGGAUUAGAUACCCUCGUACU